UUCUAUCCUGGGCAUCCACUUCGGUCUG
rnacentral:sRNA from 1 species